rnacentral:lncRNA from 1 species
AGAUGCCUAAUAUUUACAACGCUCUGAUAGUUCAAGGUCGAGAUACUGUUGGCCAAGAAAUUAACGUAACUUGUGAAGUACAGCAAUUAUUAGGAAAUAAUAGAGUUAGAGCUGUAGCUAUGAGUGCUACAGAUGGUCUAAAGAGAGGAAUGGUUGUGAUUAACACGGGAGCUCCCCUAAGUGUUCCAGUCGGCGGAGCAACCCUAGGUCGAAUUUUCAACGUGCUUGGAGAGCCUAUUGAUAAUUUAGGUCCUGUAGAUACUGGGACAACCUCUCCUAUUCAUAGAUCCGCGCCUGCCUUUAUACAGUUAGAUACAAAAUUAUCCAUUUUUGAAACAGGAAUUAAAGUUGUAGAUCUUUUAGCUCCUUAUCGCCGUGGCGGAAAAAUAGGACUUUUCGGUGGAGCUGGGGUAGGUAAAACAGUACUGAUUAUGGAAUUGAUCAAUAACAUUGCCAAAGCUCAUGGAGGUGUAUCCGUAUUUGGCGGAGUAGGUGAGCGUACUCGUGAGGGAAAUGAUCUUUAUAUGGAAAUGAAAGAAUCCGGAGUAAUUAAUGAAAAAAAUAUUGCGGAAUCAAAAGUAGCUCUAGUCUACGGGCAAAUGAAUGAACCGCCCGGAGCUCGUAUGAGAGUUGGUUUAACUGCCCUAACUAUGGCAGAAUAUUUCCGAGAUGUCAAUGAACAGGACGUCCUUCUAUUUAUCGACAAUAUCUUCCGUUUUGUCCAAGCCGGAUCCGAAGUAUCUGCCCUAUUGGGCCGAAUGCCUUCCGCUGUGGGUUAUCAACCCACCCUGGGUACUGAAAUGGGUACUUUACAAGAACGAAUUACUUCUACCAAAGAAGGGUCUAUAACUUCUAUUCAAGCAGUUUAUGUACCUGCAGACGAUUUGACCGAUCCUGCUCCUGCCACGACAUUUGCACAUUUGGAUGCUACUACUGUACUAUCAAGAGGAUUAGCUUCCAAAGGUAUCUAUCCAGCAGUCGAUCCUUUAGAUUCAACGUCAACCAUGCUCCAACCUCGGAUCGUUGGUGAAGAACAUUAUGAAACUGCGCAAAGGGUUAAACAAACGUUACAACGUUACAAAGAACUUCAGGACAUUAUAGCUAUUCUUGGGUUGGACGAAUUAUCCGAAGAGGAUCGUUUAACCGUAGCAAGAGCACGAAAAAUUGAACGUUUCUUAUCCCAACCUUUUUUCGUAGCAGAAGUAUUUACAGGUUCCCCAGGGAAAUAUGUUGGUCUAGCAGAAACAAUUAGAGGGUUUAAAUUGAUUCUUUCUGGAGAAUUAGAUAGUCUUCCUGAACAAGCCUUUUAUUUGGUGGGUAAUAUCGAUGAAGCUACUGCGAAGGCUGCGAACUUGUAAAUGGAGAACAAAUUCAAGAAAUGACUUUAAAUCUUUGUGUACUGACCCCCAAUCGAACUGUUUGGGAUUCAGAAGUGAAGGAAAUUAUUUUAUCUACUAAUAGUGGACAAAUUGGGGUAUUAAAAAAUCAUGCGCCUAUUGCCACAGCUUUAGAUAUAGGUAUUUUGAAAAUACGCCUUAACAAUAACAACCAACAAUGGGUAACGAUGGCUCUGAUGGGCGGUUUUGCUAGAAUAGGAAAUAAUGAGAUCACUAUUUUAGUAAAUGAUGCGGAAAAGAGUAUUGACAUUGAUCCACAAGAAGCACAACAAACUCUAAAAAUAGCAGAAGCUAACUUGAAUAAGGCUGAAGGGAAAAGACAAAAAAUUGAGGCAAAUCUAGCUCUCCGACGAGCUAGGACACGAGUAGAGGCUAUCAAUAGGAUCUCGUAACAAGUUGGUUCAGCAAAAUAAUUAAAAAUAGAAAAAGAUAGAAAAUUACAAUAAAAAAAGAUGAGUAGAAAAACUUAUUAGAUACCGGAAUCAAUGGUAUCUAAUACGUUCUAUCUAUACCUUACCUACUAUUGGAUUUGAACCAAUGACUCCUGCCGUAUGAAAGCAAUACUCUAACCACUGAGUUAAGUAGGUCGUUUAUCAUCCUAAAUAAAAAAAGUACCCAUCUAUCAGAUCAAUGGAUUAUAAAUGUUAUAUUACUUAUAAACAAUACCAACGCACUAUCAAUCAAAGAGAUUCGAUCAUGUAAUAUUAAUCUUGACAAGAAUUUAUUUAUCGAAUAAAAUAUGUAUCAAAAGCACAAGGGCUAUAGCUCAGUUGGUAGAGCACCUCGUUUACACACGCGCCAAUGUUUUUUUUUCAUAGGAGUCCAUCAUGUAAUUAAAAGAGUUGAUCUUAUUGAGAAAUCCAUGUCUUACUCCAGGAAUAAAAUAAGAGAACAAUAGCCUGACAAAGGAUUUAGACGUCAAAUAAAAUCCAUAAUGGAUUUGAGAUAUUGAUAAGGUGAAUACUUAAUCUAUUCAAUGCUAGGCAAAUGAGUCUAGGGACCUCCAAAAAAUUCUCUUUUCUUCCUAUCUUAUGAACUUUAAGGUGUAUGAAGUUUUAUUUCCUAUUUGAUAUUUUUAUUUAAGUGGGUUGAUAGAGAGUCCAUUUAACUUUAGUUGAUCCAGGCCAAAAGCAGACCUACGUCAGGAUAACCUUCUUCUUUGAAAAACUUUGGUAGUGCUCUUAGAUUAAAAUCUAAAAAAAAAUAAAUCAGAGCACAGGGAAUCAUUUCCUUUUUCUUUGUGUAAAGAAAAAAGAUGGUAGACUAAUUGAUAUUUCUAUCAGUUAAUGAAAAAGCCCAAUGCAAAAAAAAAUGCACGUUGGGUUUUUAAAACAAUUCAAAUCAUUUUGAUAAUAAUAGUUUGAUCUGUUUUACCGAGAAGGUCUACGGUUCGAGUCCGUAUAGCCCUAAUAUUGCUACCUAUACUACUCAGAUUUAUAGAUAGUAGAUACUUAUAUAAUAGUAGAUAUAAUAGUCGAUAUAUUUGAUAUAGUACUAUAUAGUAUUUAGUACUAUAUACUAUUAAUUAUAUUAAUAGUAUAUGGAAUACUAAAUACUCCAUACUUGUAAUAUUACUAGUUUAAAUAUACUAUAUUUUUAGUUAAUUAGUAUUAUUAAAAAUGAAUCAAUUUCUAUUUGAAUAGAUUAAUAUUGGAUAGAAUAAUAUUUCUAUUAGUAUACUCAGGUACUAGUAUGAAUUUGAUCCGAAAUAAUGUAAAUUUAAUAAAAUAAAAAGCAUUUCUAUUUAGUAUUUAGAUUAAUUUUCAUUAAUCUAAUAAUUUGAAAAUUUCAAUUCAAAUCGACUAAGAAUUAAUAAGAAUCCGGUAUAUUUUUCACAUUCAUAGGAGUACAUUUAUGUUUUUGCUUUAUGAAUAUGAUAUUUUUUGGACAUUUCUAAUAAUAUCGAUCUUUAUUCCUAUUUUGGCAUUUCUGAUUUCUGGAAUUUUAGCUCCAAUUAGAAAAGGGCCAGAAAAACUUUCAAGUUAUGAAUCUAGGAUAGAACCGAUGGGCGAUGCUUGGUUACAAUUUCAAAUCCGUUAUUAUAUGUUUGCUCUAGUUUUUGUUGUUUUUGAUGUUGAAACAGUCUUUCUUUACCCAUGGGCAAUGAGUUUUGAUGUAUUGGGGGUAUCCGUAUUUAUAGAAGCUUUCAUCUUCGUCCUUAUCCUAAUUGUUGGUUUAGUUUAUGCAUGGCGGAAGGGAGCAUUAGAAUGGUCUUAAUUCUUGAAUAUUUAGACAAUUAAACAAAACAUUGAGACAGUUAUGAAUUCCAUUGAGUUUCCCUUACUUGAUCAAAAAACCAAAAAUUCGGUUAUUUCUACUACAUUAAAUGAUCUUUCAAAUUGGUCAAGACUAUCCAGUUUAUGGCCACUUCUCUAUGGUACUAGUUGUUGCUUCAUUGAAUUUGCUUCAUUAAUAGGAUCACGAUUUGACUUUGAUCGUUAUGGACUGGUACCACGGUCGAGUCCUAGGCAGGCAGACCUUAUUUUAACAGCGGGCACCGUAACUAUGAAAAUGGCUCCUUCUUUAGUUCGAUUAUAUGAGCAAAUGCCCGAACCAAAAUAUGUUAUUGCUAUGGGAGCCUGUACAAUUACAGGAGGGAUGUUCAGUACCGAUUCUUAUAGUACUGUUCGGGGCGUGGAUAAGCUAAUUCCUGUGGAUGUCUAUUUGCCAGGCUGUCCACCUAAACCGGAAGCCGUUAUAGAUGCUAUAACAAAACUUCGUAAGAAAAUAUCUCGAGAAAUCUAUGAAGAUCUAAUUUGUUAUCAACGAGAGAAUAGGUGUUUUACUACGAACCACAAAUUUCAUCUUGGACGCAGUACUCAUACCGGCAAUUAUAAUCAAGGAUUAUUUUAUCAACCAUCAUCUAUUUCAGAGAUAACCUCUGACACAUUUUUCAAAUAUAAAAAAGUUAAGUAUCCUCCGACAAACGAAAAAGUGAAUUAAACAGGAUCCUUUUGUACAAAAUACAAUAAGAAAUAGCAAGCAAGUCAAUCUUCAAAAAUUUCAUUCUAAUACCAAACUUAUAUAAAAAAAAGCAGGAGAAGUAAAAAAAAUGCAGGGUCAUCUGUCUGCUUGGCUAGUCAAACACGGAAUAGUUCAUAGAUCUUUGGGUUUUGAUUACCAAGGAAUAGAGACUUUACAAAUAAAGCCCGAGGAUUGGCAUUCGAUUGCUGUUAUUUUAUAUGUAUAUGGUUACAAUUAUCUACGUUCCCAAUGUGCCUAUGAUGUAGCACCAGGAGGACUAUUAGCUAGUGUCUAUCAUCUUACGAGAAUAGAGUAUAGUCUAGAUCAACCCGAAGAGGUAUGCAUAAAAGUAUUUGUCCCAAGGCAAAAUCCGAGAAUUCCUUCUAUUUUCUGGGUUUGGAAAAGUGCUGAUUUUCAAGAAAGGGAAUCUUAUGAUAUGUUAGGAAUCUCUUAUGAUAAUCAUCCACGUCUGAAACGUAUUUUAAUGCCCGAAAGUUGGAUAGGAUGGCCUUUGCGUAAAGAUUAUAUCGCCCCCAAUUUUUAUGAAAUACAGGAUGCUCACUAAAUGAUAAAAAUAAGAAAGUAAUCAGCACUUCGACAACCCCAGAUAUUCAAGAAAUAUUUGUAUGUACAUUUUCUUUUUGUUAUAGAUUGGACAGAAUAAUAGAGGUUUCACUCAUAUCUUAUUAUGGAUGGGAUAAAUAACAAAAUGGAUAAAUAAAAAAGACAAUAAUAUAGGGAUUCAUUGAGAUUCUAAAAUUGGAUGGAACGAUACUUAAUUUAGGGUGAGCCAAUAGGAUGAACUGAAAAAGUUCUGUAUCAUUAACUAUGUAAGAUGUACAGCAACAUCAAUUAGAUAUCCGGCUACGAAAAAGAAAAAGUAGGAUCAAAGAAAAUAAAAAGAAAUGGACCGAAUUUUUUUAUAUUGUUGAAAUAUUAACAUUCUUUUUGGAGCGCAGAAAAAAUCGAAACAAAAUGGAAUCAUUCAUUUUCAGACUCACUUUCUAUACCUAGAAUAUACAUCUAUUCAUUCUUUAGCUAGAAAGAGUAUAUCUCCGUACGCCUAGAUAAAUUAUGUAUCUAUUCCCAAAUUUAUUAAAAUUUGGGAAUAGAUACUCAUAGAAAUGAAUCGCCGGGAACCAGAUUUGAACUGGUGACACGAGGAUUUUCAGUCCUCUGCUCUACCAGCUGAGCUAUCCCGACCAUUCUUGACACACCACCCUAAUUUUAGGAAAUUACUUGAGUCUAUGUCAACUAAAUAAAAAAAAAAGGGAUAUAGGAUAAAAAAUUAGCGAAUUAAAUGGGCUUUUGGGGAUAGAGGGACUUGAACCCUCACGAUUUCUAAAGUCGACGGAUUUUCCUCUUACUAAAAAUUUCAUUGAUGUCGGUAUUGACAUGUAGAAUGGGACUCUAUCUUUAUUCUCGUCUGAUUAAUCAGUUAUUCAAAAGAUCCAUCAGACUAUGGUGGAGUGACUGAUUUGAUCAAUCAAGAUUAUUCUAUUGAAAGAGUAAAUGUUGUCAACUCCAUUUGUUAGAACAGCUUCCAUUGAGUCUCUGCACCUAUCCUUUUUUGAUUUUCACUUUCUAAACUUUUAUUUAUUUGUUUUCGGAAAGAAGGAUUUGGCUCAGGAUUGCCCAUUUUUAAUUCCAGGGUUUCUCUGAAUUUGAAAGUUUUCACUUGGUAAGUUUCCAUACCAAGGCUCAAUCCAAUUAAGUCCGUAGCGUCUACCAAUUUUGAGUAAAAAUAUAUUCCGGUGUUAAGCAAACAACCAAAUCAUGAUUAGCAGAUUUAGGAAAAAUAUGGUUUUGGUCCCUGCAAAUAUAUCUCGUUUUGGUUUUAGUCUCUGUAGAAAAAUAAGGGGCAAAAGCACCUUAAAUAAUUUUUUUUUAGAGAAGAUAAAUCAUAAGCAGCUAAUAUUUAAGAGGAAACCACAUAUUAACCCUUUAUUUAUUACAUUAAUUUUUUUUCGUCUGAUAACUUAUUAUGUUUCUUCAAUUUAGAGAUAAAAUAGGAAAGAUAUAAUAAUUUAGUAAAUAGAAGGUCAACAUUUAUUUAUCUAUUACAUUUCUUCAAUAACAAUAUAGGAAAGAUAUCCUCUAAAAAAAUAAUUUAAGAAGGAAAGAUAUGCUAAUUUGGUAAAUAGAAGGUCAACUUAUAAGCGUGUAUUACAACAUUAUCUUUGUCUGUCUUUACAUAGUAUACAUCACAGGACAUUUGUUCUGUGUUACAUCAGACUCAGAGCAAUGGCAACAGUAGGAAGAAUGAAGUUAGGAUCACAAGGGAUGGAAGUGUCCUUACAAGGACUUGGUUGCAUGAGCAUGUCUGCUUUCUAUGGUCCUCCUAAACCUGAACCUGAUAUGAUUUCUCUCAUCCACCAUGCUAUACAAUCUGGUGUCACUUUUCUUGACACUUCUGACAUUUAUGGCCCUCACACCAAUGAAGUUCUUCUUGGAAAGGUUACCACUUUCUCUUACCCUUUUAGUUUUUCUUUUGAUUAGAAUUUCUGGGUUUGUAUUAUUUUUAUAUUUUGAUUUGGUUUUUGUUGCACGAUGUGAUAUGAGCAUGAAUGGAAUUGUAUAUGACUGUGAAUUUUUUAUGAAUAGGCUUUGAAGGGUGUGAGAGAGAAGGUUGAAUUGGCUACUAAGUUUGGAGUCAGAGCUGGUGAUGGAAAAUUUGAGAUCUGUGGUGAUCCAGGUUAUGUGAGAGAAGCUUGUGAGGGUAGCUUGAAGAGACUUGAUAUUGAUUGUAUUGAUCUCUAUUAUCAACAUCGUAUUGAUACUCGUCUUCCGAUUGAAGUCACGGUAAAAUUCUCUCUGAUUUGAUUUGGUAGCUUAAACUUUUGCAUCAGCAUAUGUGAUAUUUUCCUAAUUUAUUAUACCUUAUGGUUUAGUAGCAUAUUUUCCUAAUUUAAGAUACGAAAUAAACUGCUUGAUGACAAUAUAAAAUGACAAUGUGUGGUGACUUCAACUUGGUUUUCUUUGUAAGAUCGGAGAGCUUAAAAAACUUGUUGAAGAGGGAAAAAUAAAAUACAUUGGUUUGUCUGAGGCCUCAGCUGCAACAAUCAGAAGAGCACAUGCAGUUCAUCCAAUAACAGCUGUGCAGUUGGAGUGGUCACUAUGGUCAAGAGAUGUCGAGGAAGACAUAAUUCCAACUUGCAGGUGGAAUUUAGUUUGCAAACAUUGUGUUUUGUUAUCUAGUACUUAUCUUUCUGGUAUGAAGCACUUACAUAGACACUGGACACGACACUGGCAUGUGAAACCGUAACAAUUUUAGAAGAUAGAAGUAAUUGAAUGUAAUUACAUAUGUUGGUGUCGUCUUAGUGUCGGAGACCAAACGCGCCUUUAAUCGGUAUUGUUUGUGCUACAAAGAUAUGAAGUCUAACUUCAUGAUUUAUGAUUUUCUUUCUUAGGGAACUGGGUAUUGGAAUAGUUGCAUAUAGUCCUCUUGGGCGAGGAUUCUUUUCAACAGGAACAAAGUUACUCGACAACUUGCCACAGGAUGAUUACCGGAAGGUUUGUGGAAAGACUGCUUUUACAGAAAUUCAUGUGAAUUACUUCUUCGUUUUGUUAAUGAUCAUAUUAGUCGUUUUGAGGAAUUAUGUAUACUUAUUUUCUGUAGCGAUCUUCAUUACACAAUAAUAGUGUUCACCGACUGAUUCGCCAUGAUCAGAAUUACCAAAUUUGCUUAUGUAUAUUCAGUUGACUGUAGUUCAAAAUAAAUUAUAGUCGGUGUACAUUUUUAGUCCAUAAAAUAGUUUGGGAAUAGGCGAACAGAAGAUGACACUGUAAGUUGAUGCUAGUGAACACAAUUCAGAACUUUAUAAUACAAACAGGGUCCAUGGGAUCAAUGCGUGUUGAUAACUCCUACCAUUGACCCAAGAAUUCCACUGUACUUACUAUCCUUUCACUUCCCCUAAUUAACCACUUAGUUCUAACAUUGAUAUCUGAACCGCGAAGAGAUAUUUGAUAACAAAAAAAAUAAAAAUUAAAAGAGAAAAAAAGUAGUGUGGUUCAUAAAUAAAAACGUUGGAUCGUUUUAUAGAAGGAAAAUAUGAUGUAUUUUUCAUGAGUCCAUGCAUUUUGAUCCUUUACUUCAUGCAUGAUAUAUUUAUCACAUCUUCUUAAUGGUGACUAAACACAAAUAUUAUGGCAUGAGAGAAUUUUAUAUGAUCAGACUGCACUAUGUGUGAGUGUGCGUGCAUGUGAUUCCUUAACAUACCAUAUUCUGUAGCUGCAUUUUAGGAUUUGUUACUACCUGACAUCUUGUAUCCUAUGAAGUACGAACACAGACACUGGAUACAACACUGAUACUGAGAAAAUGAAUGCAGCUGAAAAAUACAGACACACAUAAAUCAAUCAUGGUCACACAUUUAGAUCAUAAAUCCCUAUAACUUACACCAUUGAUCAGGGAACUUAUCUCAUAAUUGCCUCUUUGUUUGGUCUAUAACAAUAUUAACUUUUCAUACUGAUAUAUUUCAUAAUCAAUUAUAUUGAAUGUAAUCACAUGAGUCAGAGAAAUUGCAACUUCUCAAAUUCUGUCUUUUAAUGUCUAUCAGUGAUACCUUAAUAUAAUCUUAUAUGUAAAUUUGUUGCAGCAUUUGCCUCGAUUUCAAACUGAAAACCUGCAGCAGAAUCAGACUAUAUUUGACAAAGUUAAUGAAUUGGCUACAAAGAAGGGAUGUACUCCACCUCAGCUUGCACUAGCCUGGCUUCAUCACCAAGGAAAUGAUGUGUGCCCAAUACCUGGAACCACCAAAAUUGAGAACUUGAAUCAAAACAUCGGUGCUCUAUCUGUGAAACUAACACAAGAAGAAAUGGUAGAACUUGAGUCUUUAGCAGAUGCUGUUAAGGGUGGUAGAUAUGGGGAUGAAAUAAGUACAUGGAAGAAUUCUGAUACUCCACCACUCUCUUCUUGGAAAGCUGUGUAAUGAAGUGAUUUUCUUGCUUAAUGCUCAUACUAGUCUUUUACCUUUAACAAAUAAAUCAGUAUGAGUUUCCUUUUGAAUGGAUUUGGUUGUAUAAAACUAUGCUUUAUGAAUUGAACUAGACAGUUCAACCGGUUGAACUGUAAACCGGCACUGUCUAUGGUUCAUUGAACGGUUCGACUGUGGUUUUGCCAGUUCAAUGUUUAAAACAUUGGUAUAAAAACUUAAUAGUUUAAAGUAUUUGAUGCGGAUUUUUAAGUUCGAUUGAAUUCUAUCGAUUACUCCACAUAAUUUGUUACAUGUUUAAGGGCAUGUAACUUAAUUAACCGCCUGUUUGAUAAACUAUUGUAUAGAUGAUUUCAUCUAUUACUUUUGGCCUCUAGUAUUCAACUUCAUCUUGAACUUUUGAGAUAUAUUUCAAUUAUUUUUGUUAGGAAAUAUAAUUUAUAAGCUUAAUUAAUGUGAUUAUUCUUAUUAUUAUUCUUUAAAGUGACAAAAUUUCAAUACACAGCUCAUGUGUGAACAAGAAGAUCGUAAGGUUGCUUAAUUAUACCAGAUAAUAAUCUUUUCAUCUGUAUAAGGUCCUCAAGCCUUUCAUUAUUUGAGACAACCUGAAUAGUUCAUUAUGAUUAUCAACAUUUUGUGGAAAAGGCUUGGAAGCAAAAUAAAUGCAUGCCUAUUUUUGCCUUCAGCAAAGUCAGAAAACUACAAUGAUUUUAACCAUGAAGUUUUGGGAAACACAUUUAAGAAAGCUAACUAUGGAGAUUUGCAUCAAUGGCAUUCAGAAAUUUCUAAGUGUGGAAGGUUUCCCUUUGGGGUGCCAACCUAGUUGGGGUGUCAAGCUAUCCCCUGAUGCCUUCCUUUGCUUUUGAUUCAUCAAAAAAAUAAAAAAAAAACUUGUUGAAGAGGGCAAAAUAAAAUACAUUGGUUUGUCUGAAGCCUCAGCUUCAACAAUCAGAAGAGCACAUGCAGUUCAUCCAAUAACAGCUGUGCAGUUGGAGUGGUCACUGUGGUCAAGAGAUGUUGAGGAAGACGUAAUUCCAACUUGCAGGUGUGAUAUUUAGUUUACAAAUAUUAUGUUUUGUUCUCUAGUAUCUCUCUCUCACUCACUCUGAUACUUGCUACAAUUGCAAUGAUACAAAGCUAUGAAGCACUGAUACAUGCAUGCAUUAAACACGACAUUGACACACAGAUACCUGUGAUAAUUUAAGAAAAUGCAAGUGAAUAAAUGUAACUACAUAUGUCUGUGAUGUGUCAGUGUCGGACACCAAAACACGUUUUCAAUUUGAAUUGUUGGUGCUACAUAGAUAUGAAGUCUAACUUCAUGAGUUAUGAUUUUCUUUCUUAGGGAACUUGGUAUUGGAAUUGUUGCGUAUAGUCCUCUUGGGCGAGGAUUCUUUUCAUCAGGAACAAAGUUGCUUGACAACUUGCAACAGGAUGACUACAGGAAGGUUUGUGGAAAGAUACGUUUACAGAAGUUCCUGAGAAUUACUUAUUCAUUUUGUUAAUCAACUCACCUAACAGUGAUUCGCAACCAUGGAUUAUUUGAGGGUCCUUUAAUCUCAUACAUCAAUGAUAUCUUCGUUUUUAAAUUAUUUGUGCUCAUUUUCUGGAAUGAUAUUUUCUUUUAGCCCACCUUUUUUCUUCCAUAAAACAGUUUGGGAAUAGGUGUAACAGUAAUGGAUAACACUGUAAAUUGCUAGUGAACAUAAUUCAGAACUCUAAUAUAAACAAGACCAUGUAGUCAAUGUGUAUUGAAUACUUUGCCUUCUACCCUAAUUAACCUCUUAGUCUCGGUCGAUAUCUGAACCGUGAGGAGAUAUUCGAUGACAAACAAAAUGUUUAAAAAUAAAUAAAUAAUGGGCAUGAUUCAUUAGUAAAAACACUGGUUUAAAAAGAAGGAAAAUAUGAUGUGGUUUUCAUCUUUUCAUUCAUUAGGAUCUUUUGUUCCAUGCAUGCAUAUUGUAGAAAUUUGUGACCUAACUUAUCCUUACAAACCCAGCUUGUAAGGUGAAGAGUGCCUCCUCGUUAUAAACUCUUAUCAAGAGUCCUAUCUAACCGAUGUGGAACUAAAUCCACCCCCUCAAAGCCAACAUAAGGCAAGCCAGCACGAGGCAACUCAAAUGUCGCAAUUAGGCGACUAGGGGCGGAAUUUCAACACAUAUAACAAGUUAUUUAUGGUAACUCAACACAAAUAUUAUGGAACGAGAGUUUUAUAUGAUCAAACUGCAUUUGCCAUAUUCUGUCUUUUAAACAUGUGUAAAUAUGUUGCAGCAUUUGCCUAGAUUUCAACCUGAAAACCUGCAGCAGAAUCAGACUAUAUUUGAUAAGGUUAAUGAACUGGCUGUAAAGAAGGGAUGUACUCCAUCUCAGCUUGCACUAGCCUGGCUUCAUCACCAAGGAAACGACGUGUGCCCGAUACCUGGAACCACCAAAAUUGAGAACUUUAAUCAAAACAUUGGAGCUUUGUCUGUGAAACUAACACCAGAAGAAUAGCAGAACUUGAGUCUUUAGCAGAUGCUGUUAAGGGUGGUAGAUAUAGGGAAGAUAUAAGUACAUGGAAGAAUUCUGAUACUCUGCCACUCUCUUCUUGGAAAGCUGUGUAAUUAAGUGCUUUGCUUGCUUAAUGCUCAUACUAGUCUUUUACCUUGAACAAAUAAAUCAGUAUGAGUUUCCUUUUGAACGAGUUUGGUUGUAUAAACCAAUGGUUUAAAAAUUGAACUUGAUGGUUCAACCGGUUGAAGUGUAAACCGAAAUUUUUUAUCUACAUAAAAUUUUGAACUCGAUGAAUCCAUUGAGUGGUCAGUUCUAUGCGCAGCCGGUUGUCAUUUUCUAUAGAGAUGGAGAAAUAUGGUGUUUUCACAAUGAAUAUUUUACCCGGUCGCAUCGACCAUGGCAUGAUAUCACAACGAUGGUAUGAUAUCUUGGUUGCAGUAAGUCGGUAUCGACAAGUAAAAGGGAAUAGGUUGGUGCAAGGUAGCAAGUUGUGGGUUCAAGCUAUGAUAACUUGGAAAUUCUCAGCUAACAGAUUGAUCUCGUUGAUUUUUGAUGGUGCCAAUGACGGAGCCCUUCAUUGGCUGGAGUGGGCCACGACCACCCAUAAAAAUAAAAAAUUUAAUGAUUAUAUGUUUAUUUUGCAAGAUUUUAUACAAUUUUGUGUCGGUUUUAGGUUUCCCGCAAAAUGGUGCGGUGGCCCAUCCGAAAAAUUUAAAUAAUUCAAUUAUAGGUCUAUUUUGCGAGACUUUGAACAAUUUUCAACGGUUAUAGUUUUCCGCAGUUUCAAAAGUGGCAUAAUUGAUUUUUGUGAUGCUUAUACACAUGUUAGUGGAGGCUUAUAGACCUACUAGUACUAGUUCACAUGAGUUUCAAAUCUCCCACAUAUUGUCCUAUCAACUGACAACUGAAAAUUCUCUCAGUUAACAGUUGUAAUGUACAAAAAAAAAAGUUUCAUAAUUUAUAGUACUUGUUAAAUAUGUAAUUAUUUAAGUAUUCACCCUAACUUUUUAGUCAAACUCCGCCAUUUCAACUUUGUACUUGCUUAUUACAACUUUAAUUUGUGUUUAUAUAUUAUAAUUAAUUUUAGUGGCCCACCCACACUUUUUUUCUGGCUCCGCCACUGGAUGGUGCUAGCAGCGGAGGUGUUCAAGCAGGUUGUGGCAGUUUGUUUCAAGAUGAACAUGAGAUAUGGUCAUGUGGUUUCUUCAAAUAUUUUGGUCGAUGUAAUACCUAUGUUGCCGAAUUAUGGGGAGCGUAUGAAGGUUUGGAGAUAGCUCUAGAUAGAGGUUACUUUAGAGUUGAAUAUAAUGUGAAUUUUAACAUUAUUCCUAGAUAGAUUACCGUCUAUCCUUGUAUUUACUAAAGGAUUUCUAGUUGAUUCCGAAUUUUUGGAUAAAAACCUAAACAAAGUUUAUUCAAAGAUUUUUUCACUGGGAUUCCAUUAUCGAUCCCAUUGACAUUCUUGGCUCAUAUACUUCGAGCAUGGUGUUAACUAUACUUUUUCAAAUUGGUUCCUUCAACAAUUUUCUUCAAAGUUAAUACAAAGCAUGAACCAGAUUGGUUCUAUAAGAGAAGGUAUUAUAAUAAUGGUUAUCAAGUUUUUUACGUUACCCUUUAAGUAAGUGUGCUAAAGAGAUAAUUAAAUUAUAAUAAUUCUAAAAUUUUUAAGUGUUUUUAACAACUCCUUAAGCGUUGUAACCAAAAAAAAAAACAACUCCUUAAGCGCUAAAAAUAAUGUUCACAAAAAAAAAAGUGCUAAGAAUAUUUUAUUGCUUUAGCACAACAUGUCUUUUACACACUAUAAAGUGAUCAAAUUAUACACUUUGUCAUAUGAAAAAUGAGAAAAAAAAUGGCUAAAACUCUCAAGUUUGUUUAUGUUAUGAUUUUAUUCACUUCUCUAUUUCUUUUUGCAAAGAACGUCGUUGGUGAGCUUUUAUUUUUCAUAUUUUUCAAAUUUUCUUAUUUACUUUGUUGUUUGUAUACAAUAUUUUAUCUUGUUUUAUUAACAUUAUUUUAUUCUCUUUUGUCAUUACAGGGUAUAUUAAUUGCAAAACUGAUGAUGAUUGUCCAAAACUUGAAUCAAGAAUGGUAGUGCUUAAGUGCACUAAUAGCCGAUGUGCAGCUGUGAUCUUACACUAGCAAGAAAUCUAAGCAAUAUAACUCAUAAUUUAAUAUUCCAUAGUUUCCAUUUAGUUAUUGUUCUCAUUCCCACUAAUUGUAUUUUUUAUUUCUUUUUCUUUUCGUAAUGUCAUGGAUCUUGCAUUAAUGGUUUUGCGCUCCAAGACUUUGACAAUGAAAUGAAAUAAGAUAAUAAAAUUGGAUUGACACGGUUUGACUUUUUUUUUUUGUGAUGGUUUGUCUCCUUUUUCGAUGUUCAUGAGGUCUCAGAAUUAAGUUUGUUGAUCCACAAAAUCAAAUUUUCAUGACGAUGCCUCUUCGCUCUUGUGUAGCUUCCACUCCGUAGAUGAUGGAGAUAGGCACAAUCAUCUUUCGAAAAAAACAAGAACAAAAUGAUUCGGGAUUAAGCCAAGGCACAUGAUGUGGAUUUUUUUGGCUACGUGAUCGCCUAUCUCUAAUUGGGAAAAAAAGUAUCCGAAAUUCCAAUUUCAUGAUUUGUCAACUCCACUACAACACUAUUGUAAUAAGUUGCAACGAUGUGACACAUGUCCAGGAGCAUCAACCACUUAUCAUCAAAUGCAAUACCGCUACUAUUUUGAGGAGGAUGCAAAUCAUUCAAGAUAUAGUUAAAAUAAUCAUCACUCCCAUAUAUCUAUGUAUAGGUUACGCUAUUUGCUAAAAUAUUUCUUCAAUUUUCCAUGGGCCCUUUCCACUCUGUUGGUGGUUAUGCAGCCAAGAUGCAAGACACUGUUUUACCAUGCCCUCACUAUUUUUUCCUUAACAGUAUCCAAAAUGGUACUUUCAACAUAGUUGAUGACAGUACACCAUUACUAGUUUUUUAGUCAUAUUUGUGUCCUUUUUGUAAUGUUUUGAGAGUCAAAUGCUUGUAUACAUGGUUAAAUCAGCUCAAGAUUCAUAAAAGAUAAGUUUUGCACAAAUUGGAGAAAAAUCAAGAAUUUAGCUACUGGAUCGUGCCACGAUGGACCUGAAUCGUGGCACGUUUGAAGCGUGGAAUUUACCUGAAGAUAUUGGAAAAAGCGUGGCACGAUGGAUAUGUAACGCGCCACGAUGGUUUAGUAAAUUUGCUGUCACGUCAGAUUAAUGAAGGAAUCAUGCCACGAUGGACGUGAAACGUGGCACGAUGGUGGGCUUUUCUGAAACCGUAAAUUCUUUUUCUAUAAAAUUCAUAUGCGAUCAGAAGCUUUGUGUGCGAUUUUGGAGACCUAAACAGAGCAUAGACAACACCAGGAAGUUGAAGAGCACGCAGUGGAUCUCAGCCAACUCAUAGUUGGUUCUGAUUUAUGUAUGUUCUAUUAUUUCUAUGUAUUCGAUUGUUUAGUUAUGAGUAGCUAAACUCUUAGAUUGAUUAAGCCAUGAGAUGAAUCUUUGUGAUCUGUGAGCAUGUAAUUUGUUAAGAACUCUCUUUGACAUCAAUGAAAACCUAGUCUUUAUUCAGAAUUAUUGGUGCUUAAUGUUUUUCUUAUGAUUGUUUGUAUGACUACUAACCCUACCUUCUUUCAAUCACAUAAAUUGAUCUUAGGAAUUGAAUGACUACUAACCCUAACUUUUAAUCCUGAAAUAGUAAUUUUGUUUAAUUCAACAUAGGAACCUAGAGAUAGGAAAUUGAGGAUUAUGACUUAUGAAUUAACGUUCUCACCAUGCUUCCGCGGUUAUUCAAUCGGUUUAAGAGAUUAAAAGGUUAUAACUUAGGAAAGGAUUUUGAGUCAAGAGAUUGAUCAAAACCACUUAGUUAUUUUGUCGUAAAGCUAGGUUAAUUUCUUUGAGAGAGAAGAGAGGCAAAUUACUCACUGUGAGCAAUAGAGGAUUCGAAAGGCUUGAUCAUCUGUUUUAAUCCAAUUAUCAAACCAUUUUAUUUACUUUGUAUUAAGUUUUAUGCGACCAAAUCCAACUACCUAGGGCAACCCAUAAAUUUACUACAUCCUUUAUUUUAACGAACUUGCUAAGUAGAAAUUAACAACGGCCCUCGUGGAUACGAACUUCAUUACUACUUCGAUAGUUUUUGGUACACUUACCAAAUAAUUAUCAAUAGUUAAGAAACUUAUGAAUUUUUUUACAAAGAUUUCGAAAUCACAUUACCGCACUUGCGUAUAAAUCCUUUGUAGGAGAUUCAAUCACAUCGUCACAUGCUCUCAUUAUGGUGUUAACUAUAUAUCACUUGGCUUCACCUCUUUGACUGCCUCCUCUUUUCCAUCCACUUGACAUUUGUUUUUUACGGCUAAUAAAUCACUCACUUCUACAAUUAUUUUACAAUUACUGUUAUUAUUAUUUCCCCCAAAUACUGCUUUGAUUCCAAAACUCAAACAUGAAUGGUACAUUGGCUGAAAGUAGCCAUUGGUCCCCUGAAACUAACUUAGUUGCUAUGAAAUUUAUGGCUUGGUUUGAAUCAAUCAAGACACGUUAACAACUCCAUUUUACUCUAUUUUGUCAACUCACACUCUAAAGUAAAUCCAGUCACUGUCUAUUCAAAGGUUUUGAUUCAAAGCCACAUACAGACCGCAAAGCCACAUGUGUGGAGAGUGAAGAAGUGGAUGCAUAUGUCGUUCUACACUCAUUAUGCUAAGUCAGUUGGAUUUGGGAUAUCAAUUAGAAAUAGUCAUCGUUCAAAGAUUUCUAGAGAGUUUAUUGAUGUAAGUUAUGCUUGCACAAGAUACGGCAAGAAGCGAGAAUCCAGUUCACAAAAUCCACGUCCUUGUUUGAAGGUGGGAUGUGAGGCUAGUUUACGUGUUAAAAGAAUUUGUGAUGGAAAAUGGAUUGUUCAUAGCUUCAUUAAAGACCACAAUCCCAAACUUUUUCUAGCAUAUGCACAUUAUUUUCCUUGCCAUAGAGGAAUCAAUAAAGCUCAAAAGCAUUCUAUUGAAACUUUGCACCAUGUUGGAGUGAGAACAAGCAAAUUUUUUGCCACAAUGGCCAAAGAAUAUGGAGGAUAUGAAACAUUGGUUGCUUGGAGAAAGAUGUAAGAAACCAUUUAGAUAAAGGUCGGCGUUUGGCUUUAGAAUCAGGAGAUGCAAAUGCAAUGUUGGAUUGUUUUAUGCUCAUGCAAGAAGAAAAUCCAGGAUUCUUUUAUGCAAUUGAUAUGGAUGAUGAGGGUCGCAUGAAAAAUGUAUUUUGGGUCGCAUGCAAAAGGUAGAGAACACUAUCAAGAGUUUGGAGAUGUGAUUUCAUUUGAUACUACAUAUACCACAAAUAAGUACAAAAUGUCAUUUGCUCCUUUUAUUGGUGUAAACAAUCACUUUCAAUCAAGGUUACUUGGCUGUGCAUUACUCUCAGAUGAGACCAAGAACAUUUUCAUAUGGUUGAUGAAAAUAUGGCUUAGAGCAAUGGGUGGAAAACCUCCAAAUGCAAUCAUAACUGAUCAAGAUAGAGCAAUGAAAGAGGCUAUUAAAGAGGUAGUAUUUCCAAAUUCUUGACAUCGAUUUUGUCUUUGGCAUAUACUUAGAGAGGUGCCUGAGAAGCUUAGUCAUGUUUUAAGAGAUGACGAAGACUUCAUGAGAUAUCUCAACAUAUGCAUAUAUAAGUCUUGGUCAAAACAACAAUUUGAAGAUAAAUGGCAUGAAAUGGUGGAAAAAUGUGAUCUAUUUGGAGAUGAUUGGAUUCACUCUUUAUAUGAAGAACGUUGAUGACAUUCUGUCAUUACUCUUUUAGUAGACAUUUUUCAUGUAAUUUUUGGGGUUAUUUAUUGUAAUUCAUGGAGUUGCAAGCUACAAAAGAAGAAGAAAUUGAAGUUUUCAAGAUUGGAAAUCGGCCACCGAUGAAGAGAAAUCGGCCACCGAUUUUUGCUGCAAUUUUGAGCUUUAGCCUCGUGAAAAAUCGGCCACCGAUUUGGUACUUUCUGGGCACGCGUUCUGUUGAAAUCGGCCACCGAUUUUGGAGCACGAUGGCCGAUUUUGACCUGCUUAUAAAUAUAAAGAGGCGUUUUCAGAUGAAGGGUUCACGAUUUUAGAGAGAAAAGGCAUAUUUGGAGCGGAGGCUUUGAAGAUUUGGUGGGAGACCAUCACAACUCAUAGUCAAUUAUCCAAUACAUGUAUGAAUCCUUGAUUUUAUGUGAGUUAUCUUGUACUGUAGUUAUGAGUAACUAAUCUCUUUAUGGUUAAGCUUGAGAUGAAUCUGAUGUAAUCCUAUGGGAACCCUAAUUUGUUGAACUCCUUUGAAUAUCAUUGAAAGUCUAGUUUUAAUUCAUAUUACUUUAUGUUUUAUGCUUUUUGUAUGUUUAUCAUUGACUACUAACCCUAGCUUUAUGAAUAUUCAAACUGAUCUUAGAGAUUAAAUGACCACUAACCCUGGCUUUUGACUCUGAUCUAGGUAAUAAGUUUAACCUAAGUAAUCAAGCUAGAGAUAGAUCAUUAUUAGGUUAUGACAUAGGGAUUAACGUUCUUUUAAAACCUCCAACGGUUUCGAAUUCACUUAAGAGAUUAAGGGGUUGUCACAUGCGGGGAGAAUUCUAGGUUAAGAGAUUGGGUAGAAUUACUUUGUUAAUCUAUCGUUAAACUAGAUAAUCAUUGCUUGAAUUAGGAGUGCAAAUUACCAUAGGAGAACUUCAGAGGAUUCGAAGGUCUUAACCAUACUUCUCUCUAAUAUUCUGAAAACCAACUUUUAUUGUUUUAUUUACGUUUAUGUUACAAAACAACUCAACUGCCUAGGGCAAUCAAUAUAAAUUUAUACAUCCUUUUUGAUAAAGAAAUUGCCGAGUAGAAAUUAACAACGGUCCUCGUGGAUACGAACUUUAUUACUACUUCGAUAGCUUUUGGUACACUUGCCAAAUAUCUAUCAAACGUGAACAUUGGGUUCCUAUUUACAUGAAUGAUACAUUUUUUGGUGGCUUGUCAACAACUCAAAGAUCAGAGAGCAUUAAUUCUUUUUUUGACAAAUAUGUAUGUAAGAAAACUACAUUAAAGGAAUUUGUCGAAAAAUAUAAAGUUGCUUUACAUGAUAACAUUUUUCUUGUAGUGUAUGUCUUCAAUAGAGUUCAAACCGCUUAAAAAGACACACAAAUGCUAGAAACUAGAGAUGUUUACACAGCAAAAAUCAUUUUUCUCACGCCAAUUUAUUUCUUAAGGUAGUAGCAAAUACAUAUGGCAUAAUGCAUGGUUCUAAAGUGUGGUCCGCAAUUGCAGCCACAUUUGUCACUAUUUUACAACAAUAUAAAAGUACGCAGUCUAACCACAAUCGCAAUUUAAAACUAUGUUGAUAUGAGCAUUAAGCAUUCAAACCACUUAAUUACGCAGUUUUCCAAGACGAAAGUGGUGGAGUGUCAGAUUCCUUCCAUGUAGGUUCCUUUCCGGUUCUGUCACCCUCAACAAGAUCUGCCAAGGAUUCAAUUUCUGCCAUUUCUUCUUGUGUUAGUUUAACAGAUAAAGCACCAAUGUUUUGAUUAAAGUUCUCUAUUUUGGUGGUUCCAGGUAUCGGGCACACGUCGUUUCCUUGGUGAUGAAGCCAUGCCAAUGCAAGCUGAGAUGGAGUACAUCCCUUCUUAGCAGCCAGUUCAUUAACCCUCUCAAAUAUAGUCUGAUUUUGCUGCAGGUUUUCAGGUUGAAAUCUCGGCAUAUACUGCAGCACAUAUACACAAAUAGAAGAUUAUAUUUAGGCAACAGUGAUGAACAUUCAAUGAGAUAAUAAAGAUAUUUCCCUGAUGUUACAAGGUGUCAGCAAGGAAAAGUAACACAACUCUAUGAAUCAAUGACACAUAUACGGACACGACAUUGAUACUAACACAAAGUGAGUGAUAAUAAUUUUAGAAAGUAAUAAAAUCAGAGUCGUGUCAGACAUUGACACGUUUGACAUUGGACACACCUUUGAUCUGAACUACAUAGAUUAUGUUCACCAGCAAUGACUUUAUAACCAUGCACACUACACAAAGUUUGAUCUGAUCUUGGGAUUUCAAGACACUAAUUUACUGUUAUCACUAUCAGUAGGUGAACACGGUUCUGGUAUAGUGAAAAUAUAGCAAGUGGAGAUCACCGCAGAAAAUAAUCAUGAAUAUUUAUUAAAAUAGAACAUUUUGGGGUGCCAAGGUUAGAAUCUAUAUAACGCGAAACCUUCAAGUUCAAGGUGUGUUCUGUGUUUGACACCAACACAAUAGCUAGUUAUGUUUUUCUUAAAUUAUUACCGAUGUCUAUGUGUCAGUGACAAUAUCAUGUCAGGUAUCCAUGUUUGUGCCGGUAGUUCAUACUUGUUAGUUGAGUGGAUGAACAUAAUGAACAAGUAAUUGAUAUGAAUUUCUGUAAAAGCAUGCUUUUCGACAAACCUGGCGGUAAUCAUCCUUUGUAAAGUUCUCAACAAUCUUUGUUCCUGAUGAAAAGAAUCCUCUCCCAAGAGGACUAUAUGCAACAAUUCCAAUACCAAGUUCCCUAACAAAAAAAUCAUAACUCAUGAGGUUAGACUUCGUAUCUAUGCAGCACCAACGAUUGAAGAUGUGUGUUUGGUGUCAGACACGUGUUGGUGCAUCGACAUAUGUCACCAAUACAUGUAAGUACAUUCAAUCACUUCCAUUUUCUUAAAUUAUAAUCGCUAUCGUGUUUUAUACCUUCGUAUCAUUGCAAUUUUAAUAAAGUACCACAAAGAGAAAUGCGAGAUAACAUAACAUAAUGUUUGUAAACUAAAUCAAACCUGCAAGUUGGAAUUAUUUCUUCUUCCACAUCUCUUGACCAUAGCGACCACUCCAAUUGCACAGCUGUUAUUGGAUGAACUGCAUGUGCUCUUCUGAUUGUUGAAGCUGAGGCUUCAGACAAACCAAUGUAUUUUAUUUUUCCCUCUUCAACGAGUUUCUUAAGCUCCCCAAUCUUAGAAAAAAACCAAAAGUUGAAGUCAUCACACAUUGUCAUUUUAUAUAUGUCAUCAAGUUGUUCAUUUCAUAACUUAAAUUAGGAAAAUAUGCAAACUAAACCAAAAGGUAUAAUAAAUUAGGAAUAUAUCACAUAUCCUGAUGCAAAAGUUUAAGCUACCAAAAUCAAAUCAAAGAAAUUUUGUGAGAAUCUUACCGUGAUUUCAAUUGGAAGACGAGUAUCAAUACGAUGUUGAUAAUAGAGAUCGAUGCAAUCAAUAUCAAGUCUCUUCAAGCUAGCUUCACAAGCUUCUCUCACAUAAGCUGGAUCACCACAAAUCUCAAAUUUCCCUUCAGUAUAUUUGGCUCCAAACUUUGUAGCCAAUUCAACCUUCUCUCUAACUCCUCCUUUCAAAGCCUGUCCACAAUUUCACACAUACACAUUUCAUCACAUUUCUACUAUGCUACGCAAAGGUUACAAAGUCACUUAGCUCGACGCUAGGCAAUAACUUUGUGUAGUAUAUUUGUAUUUCAAAACUCAUCAUCAAUUAAAAGUUCAUUUCAUAUAGAUCAUGUCAAAAUCAAUUGUAGUUAUCGCAAAACUAAAUGAAAGCGAAGAGAAAGUGGUAACCUUUCCAAGAAGGAGUUCGUUGGUGUGAGGGCCAUAUAUGUCAGAGGUAUCAAGAAAAGUGACACCAGAUUGUAUGGCAUGGUGGAUGAGAGCAAUCAUGUCAGUUUGAGGUUUAGGAGGGCCAUAGAAAGCAGACAUGCUCAUGCAACCAAGUCCUUGUAAGGAUACUUCCAUGCCUUGUGAUCCUAACUUCAUUCUUCCUACUGUUGCCAUUGUUCUUAGUCUCACUGCACAACACUCAAUAAACCUUCU